rnacentral:rRNA from 1 species
AUUGAACGCUGGCGGCAGGCUUAACACAUGCAAGUCGAGCGGGGUGAUGGUGCUUGCACUAUCACUUAGCGGCGGACGGGUGAGUAAUGCUUAGGAAUCUGCCUAUUAGUGGGGGACAACAUCUCGAAAGGGAUGCUAAUACCGCAUACGUCCUACGGGAGAAAGCAGGGGCUCACUUGUGACCUUGCGAUAUUAGAUGAGCCUAAGUCGGAUUAGCUAGUUGGUGGGAGGAGAGUCCUACCAAGGCGACGAUCUGUAGCGGGUCUGAGAGGAUGAUGCGACACACUGGGACUGAGACACGGCCCAGACUCCUACGGGAGGCAGCAGUGGGGGAUCUUGGACAAUGGGGGGAACCCUGAUCCAGCCAUGCCGAGUGUGUGAAGAAGGCCUUAUGGUUGUAAAGCACUUUAAGCGAGGAGGAGGCUCUUUUAGUUAAUACCCAAGAUGAGUGGACGUUACUCGCAGAAUAAGCACCGGCUAACUCUGUGCCAGCAGCCGCCGUAA